UUGAGAAGGAGAUGUUUUCCCCCCUCCGCGCCAAUUGUGUGCAUGGCGUUUGCUUUUCUUUGAACCUCUGUGUCUGGAACGUGGGCCCUGGGGCUGACGUCCUGAAUGCGCACGGGGAAGCGUGCCCGCUGAACCCUGGUCCCGCAGGCCCAGAGGUGCACGGAGAGGGGCCGUGACUCACUCCAGGUCUCCAUACAGUUCCAGCCCCUUCUCUCGCCAAAGCCCCUUCUGCAUGUCCUCCCCCCCCCCCACGCCCAACCGGGCAGGCUGCGAGGCUGGGGUGAGUCUGCAAGUGUAAGCUGGGGACUCUCACGGGGCUGGUGAGCAGAGGGGCCCAAAGCUACCAGGGUCUUAAAAGGCCAAUUAAUGCCACUGGGGCCACAGCCAGGCCCCCACUGGCCUUUCACUGUCCCCUGGGGCCAUCCUUCAAUCCGCAUGGAAGUCUGAAAGCAUCUCCGUAGAGACGUCAGUCAGUCCCCUGGACAGAGAGCGCGGUGCGCCCCAGCUCUGGAGUGUGUCCGUCACUUGUCUGCGAGCUGGCCCGCCAGUCAUGAUGAGGCUCGGGUGUCUUCUCAACAGGACAACCAAACGGCCACACCCCCCUGGGUCCCCCUGUCCCCUGAGGCCUGAGACCACGUGGCCGUCCCCAAGGAUGUCCGACUGUUGCCUUAGCUCCUGACGCCAGCCCUGUGCCUAGAUCAUGUGCCACCUGUUUGCGGUGACCUUUUCUUCAGCUCCCCGGGGUGACCACCGGGCCACACCUGAGCUGGCUCUUGCCGCUCCCUCCCAAUUAAAUGCCGCUUGCUUCGCAUCGGAGCCCCAGCCCGGGGUCUGACGGUGAUGACGGCAGCGAGGACACCGCGGCGCUUACUCCUAGACCCCUGGCCGUCUGCCCCGUAGAAUGCUCCGUCUUCCGGACUGCGAUGAAUGCUGCCUUAUGAUGUCAGGUGACUUAUUCCUCCCUGUUCCAUA